CGCACAUGAUGAUACCAGAGAGUGGUUUCGCUUUCAAGACCUGAUGUCACUUGAUGUCACAUUUUCUCUUGGCUAUCUGAUGCU
ensembl:snoRNA